rnacentral:rRNA from 1 species
UGCAAACUGCGAAUACCGGAGAAUGUUAUCACGGGAGACACACGGCGGGUGCUAACGUCCGUCGUGAAGAGGGAAACAACCCAGACCGCCAGCUAAGGUCCCAAAGUCAUGGUUAAGUGGGAAACGAUGUGGGAAGGCCCAGACAGCCAGGAUGUUGGCUUAGAAGCAGCCAUCAUUUAAAGAAAGCGUAAUAGCUCACUGGUCGAGUCGGCCUGCGCGGAAGAUGUAACGGGGCUAAACCAUG